rnacentral:rRNA from 1 species
AAUGAACAUUGGCGGCGUGGAUUAGGCAUGCAAGUCGAGCGCGAUGAGUUUGGUAGCUUGCUACUGAACUCGGAAAGCGGCGAAAGGGAGAGUAACGCGUAGUUACGUGCCCCAGGGUUCGGAAUAGCCACGGGAAACUGUGGGUAAUGCCGAAUAACAUCUCCGGAUCAAAGGUGUGAUUCCGCCCUGGGAGCGGACUGCGUCCUACUAGCUAGUUGGCGGGGUAAUGGCCCACCAAGGCAACAAUGGGUAGCGGGUGUGAGAGCAUGACCCGUCUCACUGGGACUGGGACACUGCCCAGACACCUACGGGUGGCUGCAGUCGAGAGUCUUCGGCAAUGGGCGAAAGCCUGACCGAGCGACGCCGCGUGCGGGAUGAAGGCCCUCGGGUUGUAAACCGCUGUCGUAGGGGAGGAAGGCUCUGUGAAGAACAGGGUUUGACCUAUCCUAGGAGGAAGUACGGGCUAAGUUCGUGCCAGCCGCCGCGGUAA